CAGCGCAUUGGCAGCUACAAGCCAGGGGCGGUAGCGUG
rfam:Erwinia tasmaniensis strain ET1/99 complete chromosome.